UGAGUAAAUAGUGGGGAGAAGAGGAAAAAAAUUGGGAUUGCUAAAGAAGAAAGGAGCUGUUUUUUCUUGAUAUUAAUCCAGAAUGAGGAGCAGGGUUUAGAGCUGGCUCAGGAAGGCAGAGUUACCUGUGCUCUGCUCCUGGCAGAGGGAACACAUACAAGUUAUUGGGAUAUAAUAUUCUCACUGAUUAGGUAAUAGCAUGGCAAAGCAAGGAAAAUAUUUUAUGGCAAACUUAAAUAGCAGUGGAUUCAGGUUCAGCAGGACAGGGGAUUAAGAGAAGGGACUUCAUCUGGUCAGGGUAGAUAGUGGCCAUUAACCUGUCCUCUGGAGGAUGUGCUGAGCCUGAAUAACAGGAGUGUAUUUGUGUGUGUGUAUGAGUUUCCCUAGCUUGUUUUUCUAAUCUAUUGUAGUCUCAAGCAAUUCUUAAAUUGUGGCUUCCUUCUUCCUUGCCUCACUCCCUCCCCCAUCUGUUUUCCUUUAGUCUGCUUAUGGGCUUAUAAGUAGGAAAUAGAAUUAAUCAACUGCUUACGCUAUAUGUGAAAAGGUGACAUACCUAAAUCUAAUUAUGCAGGAGAAGUUAAUGAAUGCCACCUCACUGGUGCAUUGCCAUCAGCAAUGCCCACCCUGUUUUCUUUGCAUUUCUUACAGGGCCUGCAGUGUAGGCAGGAGAGGGGAAAACUAUUCCAUUCUAAAUGCUGUAAAAUAUAAAUACUGUAAAAUUAGACAGCCAUAUAUUUUACUUUUCCUGGUAGCAAAUUUGCAGGAAAGCAAGUGAUAUAAAAUAAUAAUACUGUAAUAAACCAUCUCAUCUAUUGUUGUGAAUUUAGAGUGCUCAAACUUAGAUAAGAUCUGUACUAAUUAGAAUGCUGCAGCCAAACCUUCCCUGCUACUGGUACAACACUGAUAAAUCCCAAUGCAAAUUUGUAAAAAAAGUGUUGAUUCAUUUCUUAAGUGCAUCUUUUUUAAGCCAUGCAGUUUUUUGGAAGUGUACUGGGAUUUCUUUUGAAGCACAUCUUGACUUUUAAUAAAUAUAUCAAAAGUACUUUAAAAUAUAUCAUAGCUAAUUCUGCUCUCCCACAAAUCCAUCACUUUUUAUUGCCUUUUAACUAAUUCACCCUUUUCCACAGCCGAGAGGAAAUGGUUUAAAUCUCUUGAUGGUAUGUUUUUCUUUCAAUUUUUCUGGUUGUAAAUGUUUAGGGGGGAAAAAUCACCUAAUAUAUCACUGUUAAAAGAAAGGACAGAAAUGUGUUCCUCGUGGCACCUUGGCUAACUGGACUGUAAUAUAUCCAAAGAUACCAGGUAAAAGGGCAAUGCUGGGGCAGCUCACAGUGCACCAAGGUGAUUUAGGAAAUGGCUGGCUGAUUCCUGGGAUGGAGAGGUGCAGGACUAAAAUCCAGCCCUGACAAAACCCUGGGAUCUCACCUGGACUUUGUUUGCAUUGCAAUCUCUUGCAUUUCUGCUGUUUCCUGUGAGCACUUCUGGGCUGUUUGUGCAGGAAGAGAAAUACCUGCAAGUCCAAGUGAGGUGCUUGGACCUUUAAUUGCAUUCAGUUAAUGCUUGGCAAGUGUCCUAUGAUUUGCAAAAAUCAUCUGUUCCUUAAUCCUCUUCAGUGCCAAGGGUUAUUAGGAAGGGACUGCAAAGAAGAUGAGAAAUUGGAACGUUUGUAUGUUGUGGAAUGAAUGAGAGAAUCCUCAAGUGGCUUAAGAAUGAUUGGAGUUUUUCUUUUAACCUGUGGUAACAUUUGGAUUAUCAAAACAAGUGUUAUAAAAAUUGAAGAUGACCUCUAGCUGAGCAAUGCUUUCCCUUAAACCUUGGGAAAAAGCACAGAGAAAUGACAGCAGGAGCUGACUGCUGCCCAUUGCCACAGCACUGAGGUGGAUGCACAGAGCUCUGCUGGGGUUUAAGACACAGUCUGAGUGAGUUUCUUUUCUCAUAUGCACACCUAAGAUAUGUCUCCAAGGCACAUGUGUGAGAUUUCCCACUUUUUGCUCUCUGAAAACUUUGCAAUCUGUUGCACAGUUCACAAGGGGAGGAGGAAAAGCUUUAUUUCAUGGAAAGGAGCGAGGCAAUGAGUUAAGAGCUGUCAUUUUGGGCUUGCCAUCCUUGCUCUUAGUGCCCAGGCCGAAUAGCUGCAGGGUUUCUGGGCUGCUGCAAACAGCAUUAGCAGCUGGCUCUGAGCUGUGAUGGACAGCUGAUAGGUGUUUCACAAAUGAGCUGCUCUGCAUUGAUGCACUCUCUGUGAGCCCAGCUCCAGCGGCUGGGAGGAUGUGUGUGAGAGGGGAAGGGAAAAUGUCAGCAAGGCUGCUGGAUGCACACGUUAAUUUGCACUAAUCUGUCUGGGAGGAGCUGUGCCUGCAGCUCUGCAGCCUGUGAUGCACAGCGAGGAGCUGCCUUAUCAGGCACGGAGCCACACGCUCCUGGCAGUGUUCCAGGGGCUUCUCAUUGAUCAAACAGGGGCUUGCACACAGGAAACAACUUUAAAGGGAGAUAUUGUAUGCCAGGGAGCUUUAAAGUUACUCCUUUUCCCCGUAGUUAUACAAUUAUGAAUUCUGUAACGUGCACCGUGCUGCAGUACAAUGACAGUAACACAAUUUUGGUUCAGCUUGCAGAUAAGAUGUGGUGGGAGCUGAGAUUUCCAGACUCAGACACGCUUUUGAGAUAUCACUGGGUUACCAAAGCUGCUUGAUUUACGAGGAAGUUGGAGUAAAGCACGGGAUACCUGGACUAAUUACUGGAAGAAAGCAGCCUGAGGUGCUGAUUAGCAUCCAGCACCAGCUGGCAGGUAAAUUUCCAAGGCUUCUGUCCAGAAACAGGAAUUUGGAAAGCAUGGAGAAUAAACAACCUGUAAGCAUCAAAAUCUGCAAACAGACCUUUAUUCUCACUGCUGCAUCCAUUUCUGCCUUGAGGCAGUGAAGAGAGCUCCUGUUUGCUCUGCAUCCCUGCACAGUUCCACUGAAAUUGAAUCAUCUCCAAUGUAUCUGCUAAACCCUGGCUAAAGACAAGAAGGUCUGAACACAGCAAGAACUCAGUAAUGAAGUACCCAGGAGAAAUUGUGGAAGGAAGAAGCAAUGGAGCUGAGAGUGAGCACCAACCUGGUCAGCAGAUCAGAAGUUAUGUUCAGCUCCCAGCAUCCUGCCUGUCAGCCUGGAAUGCUGCUGGAAAUUCCAUGCAGUUGUGCUGCCUUCACAGCAAAGCCUCCAGCCAGAUGAAAUUUGUAUGUGUGAGGAGUCUGUGCUGGGUGGAAACACCUGGAAUACUGCAGGUACCUCUUGGUUGAAGAACAAGCAUCCACAAAUAAAUGUAAUUUUGAAUUGUCCCAUUGACUGACCAACAGCCCCUUUCCUGUUGGGGCUCAGCAGUGCUGCUCUUCCCUGCACAGACACCGUGUAGGCUGAAAAUUAAAUGAGAAGACAAAAAAAUCACCUUAAACAUACAGUGUUCCCUACAGGUUUGUGUUUAUGCAACAGAGAGAGCCAAGGAGAAGAUAUGACCCAUGUACUCUGGUUAUAGAGCUAUCAUCUUAUGGAAAUUUAAUGGUUUGGUAAUCCUGGGUUCUCCUUUGGGACUCUGGCCUGUGUCUGUGUUGAUAUUUGAAGCUGCAGGAGCUGAGGCCUAAACCAAGUUCUUCAAACAAAAUGCCGUAACAUUGCCAAGGCAAAGGGAAUAACUGUGGUGGAAGAUACACGGAAAAGCAAAUUCAGUGAGUAGAGAAGUUGUAGCUACUCAGACAUGGGAAGGGAAGAACAUUCACUGAAGAAGCAGAGUGGAACUCUCCUCCAUUUAAAUGUACUCACUGACUGAAGUGGGAAUCCAGAGGAAUUUUCCUUCAGAUAUAACAAUAACAUUUUGAUAUAUGGAAAUGCUGUCUCCAACACAAAAAUAGCUGGUACUUCUCUACUAUUCCUGCGUCAAUAAAGCUGCUAUUGAACCUUUUGUGUUAAUUCAAAGAUCAGCAAAACUUACUAGGAGCCAGGAAUUACUUAAUAAUAACAGAAUAAGUGUGACUAAGUAAAAAGGGCCUAAAAGAGAGCUCAGAAAGCUAAAAAUACAAUUAAAGAGAGAUGAUUAGAAACCACUGAAUGAUAUUAAAAAGUGGUGAAGCAUUGGUUUUGGAGCAGAAAACCUUUCUGACAGAAAUACCAGUAUAAGUUUACAAAAGCUGUUUACUACACAAAAUGCUGGAAGCAUUGAUGAAAUAGCCAAAUUUAUGGAAUCACUAGAAAUUCAGUGCAAGCCAGAAAAAUUGUUUGGUGAGAGUCCUCCAAGAAAUGCAUGCCAUUUCUAACUCCUGUUAGUGCUGGGUGCUGUGGGACUUGGAGUUCUGAGCAAGAUAUAAUUAGAAAGCAACACAAGCCUCAGGAGUCGUUCCUCUUUCAGCUAUUUCUAAGGGCACCUUUAAUUGGCAAUAUUCAAAUACAAACUCCUCCAGAUAUGACUAAUGACACAGUCUUCAACUCUCUCCUAAAUUAUUCCAAGUUUCUCAGUGAAAGAUAAUUUUAGUGUGAGCUGGUUAUCUCCAUUUAGAAUAAUAAGAGAGCAACUUGGGUAGAUUCUGAGCUAAAUCUUCUUGCAAACUGGUUUGCAAUGAAAGGGAGAGAAAAGUAGCUCAUUAUCAGCAACAGAAAGACUUUUGGAAAGCUUCAACACAUUCAUAAGACUCUGAACAUGGAAAAAGAUGUCCUGGCUAAACAUAAUUUGUCAAGGAUGUCUGACUCUAUCACCAGUUUCUACACAUAAUGAAAAUUUACCAUUCUUUCAUUAGACACUAGAAUCAAAAGGAUAAGAAAACUUACAACAAAUUCCUUAUUUUCUAAAGAGCUCUUAUGACUACUCAGGAUGCAGUGACUUUGAGCAGUAACUUUCUCUUAUUGUAUAUUUAUGAAGCAGAUUAAUUUCCAAAAUGCAAAUGCAUUUCCCCUAUCUUGUUUUCCUUUUUGCCAUCGGGUAAAAUAUCUUCUGAAUGCCAUUUGUUCAAAAAAUUAUCUCAGACAAACUGAAAUUAACACCUGUGGAAACUUCAUGCUACCUUAGUAUAGUAUUUAUAAUAUAUAAUAUAGAGUUUCUGGAGUUGGUGGUAUAUCCUUCAAAAGGUAAAACACCCCUAGUAUUAUAUGAAAAAACAGUAUUAUAUGAAAAAGUAUUAUAUGA